GCGGCCCAUCAGCUAGUUGGUGAGGUAAGAGCUCACCAAGGCUAAGACGGGUAGCUGGUCUGAAGGAUGAUCAGCCACACUGGACUGAGACACGGUCCAGACUCCUACGGGAGGCAGCAGUGGGGAAUAUUGCGCAAUGGGCGAAAGCCUGACGCAGCCACGCCGCGUGAGCGAUGAAGGCCUUCGGGUCGUAAAGCUCUGUGGGGAGAGACGGUAUCUCCUUAGCAAGCACCGCUAACUCCGUGCCAGCAGCCGCGGUAAUACGGAGUGCAAACGUUGCUCGGAAUCAUUGGGCGUAAGCGCACGUAGCGGCUAGAUAAGUCGGGUGUGAAGCCCUGGGCUCAACCCAGGAAGGCAUUCGAAACUGUCUGCUUGAAUCUCGGAGGGGGCAGAGAAUCCCGGUGUAGAGUGAAAUUCGUAGAUAUCGGAAGGAACACCAGUGGAUCACAGUGAAUUCGC
rnacentral:rRNA from 1 species